UGCUCAUGUGAUUAUUCACAUUAAGUCAGGGAAGAGAGAGAGACGAGCUAACUCCAUGUUAAGUGUUUGCUAUUAAAAACUAAUGCCCCAUGUAAUUCAAUUACGUUUUUGAAAUUGGUAUCUCAUGAUGUCGAAUAUGAUUUACUAUUGGGUCAUAAAAUCAUCAGUGUUUUAUCCUCUGCCUGUAAAUCAUGGCUGCAGCAGUGACAGUAAAUGAUAGAAUCAUCAGAUAUGGAUGUAUUACUAGAUACAGAGCAGUUAUAUACAAGUCAUAGUAUUGAUUAAACUGAUUUACUGUAGUGUAGAAACAUAUCAUAUCAAAAUAUGCACAAUAUGGAUUAUAGUAUAUUUUCAUCAUGCCCUGCUGCUGUUGCUAGUCUCUGUCACCCUGAUGAACAGGAAACACAGUAAGGUUAUUGCUUGACAUGAAGUCUUCCUGUUUACUGCAGAAUCUGCCAGUGUGUGUGCGUGUGCGUGUGUGUAUUUGAAUGAUUGAGUGAGAGAGAGGGAGAGAAUACUUAUCUGACAAUGCAAAGUGCAAUGUAUUUUCUGAUGUCUUCCAGAUGAAGUUAUAGUCCAUUGACACAACCAGAGGAUGCUUCUGCUACAACCUUACAAUAUGGAGGAGGACAUGGAGAUUGACCGUAACGUCACUGGGAUCCUUGGAGAGGAUGUCUUCCUCCGCUGUCAGUACCUGGGACCGAAUGACAUCACAGAAGCCUCAUGGAAACGCCCAGACUCUAGAAUGAAACGAUCGAUGAAGAAAUUAACAGGCUACAAGAACAACAAGGCUUUCAGCAAAGACCCAGACUUCUCCGCCCCAGCCUCUCCCACCAAUCUGACUGUGAAGAUGAGGGUGUCUACUCUGGAGGUCCAGGGGGAGUACACAUGUGUGUUCGCCACCGAUGAAGAGGAGAUCACUAACAGCAUGUUUCUCACUGUUCUGGCUCGACCUGAUAUCUACACAGUGGUGACAGAGGACACAGACAACGCUACCCACUACCAGUCAGUCACAUGCUCAGCUACCAAUGGUAAACCUGUGGCUCUGAUUCGCUGGGAGAUCAACGGCAGCCCUCCUACUGACGACUCCUCUGUGGAGAUGAGGAACACCAGUUAUACCAAUGGCACUGCCACUAUGACCAGCUUACUCCGCUUCCCCACCCACCUACAGGACCAGGACAGGGUGACCUGUGUGGUCCAGCACCCAACCCUGCCUGACCCCACCACACAUGUCACAGUGAGGGUGGAGACCUUCGUGGCUCCCAAUGUGACCAUUGAGACAUACCUGGUUCUAGAGGAAGGGGAGAAGUUCUGGGUGGUCGCCUGUGGUGCGGCCAGAGGGCGACCCCGAGCUGACAUCACCCUGGUGCUGACCAAUCAGGAGGUCAGUUCCAUGCUACAGAAGGAGGUUGUCAUGGAUGCAGCAGACACAUGGGUCAGGUCAUACCGCUUCCCAGCUGAGCUUCAUGAAGGGGAAAACAUCACCUGCAUGUUUGACCACCCCAAGUUCCCAAACGGAGAACUUCGGACCGUCACUUUGCCGGCAUUCUCUCUGUCUGCUGUUCGGCUGCAGAACCCAGGGUUGGCCGACAGCAGCAAUAAGAGCCAGGCUGUAGAGUCAGUGGUUCUGGAGGAAGGACAGAGCAAAACCACCAUCGGGCUAGAGGUCGUUGGGGAUGUACCACGUUACAGUAUAGUAUGCACCAAAGAAGAGCAGUCUCUCCCUGAGGGUGUGGCAGUAUUUGGCAGUGCUCUAACCCUGCAGGGUCCUGUCGAGCUCUACCAUGCAGGGCUGUAUGAGUGUGAGGCCUCCUACUACAGCCACAGGGCAUCUGUACUGCUGGACAUUACCGUUAACCCACAUGUCAAGCAGCCUGUGACUGUUCCUCCCAGCAUAAGGAUUGAUGUCCAGGACAGACUGGGUGACAGAUUCAUUGAGUGCCUGGCUGCGGACUCCGUCCCUGUUGCCAAUGUGUCCUGGGUUCUACCUGAGGGUGUGUCUGGGCCCUCCUGGUCCAGUCUCACAUCCCAUAAUGGAACCUAUUCUGUCAGCAGUGUGUUAGUACUGCCUGCCUGCUCAGCCCAGGAGCUCAAUAUGGAGUGUGUGAUAGAUCAUACUGUGUUUGUGUUGCCAGAGAGAAGACAGAUAACACUCCCUGUGUGUGCUCCUCCUAACAUCACCAUCCAGUCCAGCUCUGAGUGGGAGGAAGAUGUAGCAUACACACUGGUGCAGUGCACUGUGGACAAUGUUGGACCUGCUGCCACCAUCUCCUGGAGUCUUGGGGACAGUGACAAUAGUACCAGUCAGCUCAUGGAGGUGCAGGAGCAGCAGGUUCACAGGCAGCCUGAGCUCCAUGCCAAUGGCUCUGUGACGGUCCGUAGUGUGUUGAGGUUCCCCACUUCCAUGUUCUCUGGUCAGAAUGUCACCUGUGUGGUGGAUCACCUGGGUCUUGAGAAGCCAGAGAGAACAGGGAUACUGCUGCGUGGACUGGAGUCCCCUGUGAUGCGUGUUUUUGUUGGGAGGCAGAGGGGAUCUCCUCUGUGGCUGGCUGUAUGUGAGUACAGAGGGGACAGGCUCGGAGCACACCUCUCUUGGGUUCUACCUGACAACGCCACAGGCCACAUCUCCUUCCGCUCUGGGUAUGAAGGAGUGAGAGUGAUAACCAACCUCACCUAUGAGUUUUCACUGGCCCUCCAUGAGGGACAGGACCUGAUCUGUCUCAUUCAAAAUCACCAUGGACUAAAGGAGAGGAGGACAGUCCAUGUCCCCAAAUACUACAUCUCAUCUGUCAGAGUACUCAAUCAAACCACUCCCCUGUACAAACCAUAUGGAGACGAGUCCGUUAUACAUCGAAUGUCCCUAAAGGAGAAUUUCCACAACCAGAGGAUCCUGCUCAAAGUCUAUGGCAGUGUGCCAACUUAUAGCCUUACCUGUCAGAGAAAUGACGGCACAUUGGUCCAGAUGGAUGGUCGGGCUCUGUUGUUCCAUUCAGAGGUCACGGAGCAGGAGGCGGGCCUCUACACCUGCCAAGCCUCUUUCUACCACCAUCAGGCCUCGGUCCUCAUUCAAGUGGAGGUCACCAGUGAAGAUAAACAGCUCAUGAUUGUCUUCAUCGUCUGUUUCUCCUCGGCUGCAGCCAUCACGAUCCUCCUCAUCGUCACUCUGUGUGUUUUCUGCAAAAUAAAAGGAGGAGACCGCCUAGCAUCUAAGAAGCGGGAGUCGCUGGCACCCUUGACCUCUCUGACCCAGGAACUGUGCUCUCCAGAGCUGAGGAAAGGAAAGACAGCAGUGACAGUACCAGGAGGACGAGGCCAGGAGUACAACCAGCUGCUCAGCUACUCUAUUGUCAUUGAUGCCAGAUCCACUGUGUAAAUGACAGGGUGUGUCCCUACUGGCACACUAUUACCUCUAUAGAGCACUACUUGUGCACGGUAUAUGGAAUAGGGUGCCAUUUGAGACUGAAUUAUUUUAUUUGCCAGUUAAAAAAAGACAUACUCACAGUACAUGCAUUUUAAGAACUUGACCGGGAUAUCAGAGACUUUUGGUCCCUAAAUUCCAUGGUGCAAAAACAUUACAACAUUACAUAGAUAUAGAUGGACUCAUGACAUGGAUCAUUUUUUUCUUUUUUCAAUUUCUCGAUCAUUAGCCAGAUUUUGACUUUAGACACAACCACAGGCUUCUACUACAUGUUGGAGUCCACGCUACAGUAUCCUGCAUCGCUCUUACGUGGUGCAUGAUGCAGCUUCUCCUCAUGCCAAGUCAUUCAAAUGCAUUAUUUUGUGAAUUUUUUGUUUUGUUUAUUGGUGUAUUUCAUGCAUUGGUGUGUUAAAUAAUUGUAAUGUGUUGUCAAACUCAUAGAAAUUAUGUUGAGCGUAGCUUCUAUUUGUUUGACUGUUUUGUAUUAUGCUGAACUUUAAAAAGGUUAUUCAUUUUGGUUAUCUAAUGUUGUAAAAUCUGGAGCAUUAUCAAUAAAAGUAGUGUAAAUGUGUAUCUUGUUGUUAAACCUGCUUUGUUUUACAGGUUUAAGACUAAAUUAAUUGACACAAGUGUGUGCACGUACAUACACACACAUUCUUGUAUAACUAAACUUGUGUGGUCACACUUCAGUCCCACUCAAAGUCCUAUUUUCUAGAACCCCUAAACUUUAACCUUUACCCCAAAACCUAAUCUAGCUCCUGAACCUAACUCUAACCGUAACCCUAAAACCCCUAGAAAUAGCAUUUGACCAUAUGGGGACUAACAAAAUGUCCCCUAGUUGGUACAUUUUUGGUUGUUUACUAUUCUUAUGGGGACUUCUGGUCCGCACAAGUAUAGUUAAACAUGUCCAGACACACACACAGAAUGAAUUUCUUCCCACUAACCCUGAUUGUGUCAUGGAAAUAAGACACUACUAAUAGAGCUCACCUCAUCACUUGCAGAAGAGCAGGAAAAUGUAU
ensembl:lncRNA